UACAGAGGUGGCAAGCGUUGUUCGGAAUUACUGGGCGUAAAGGGCGCGCAGGCGGCUGCUCUAGUCAGGCGUGAAAGGCCUGGGCUCAACCCGGGAAUUGCGCUUGAGACUGGGCUGGCUUGAGUGCGGGAGAGGAUGGUGGAAUUCCCAGUGUAGAGGUGAAAUUCGUAGAUAUUGGGAAGAACACCGGUGGCGAAGGCGGCCAUCUGGACCGCAACUGACGCUGAGGCGCGAAAGCGUGGGGAGCAAACAGG
rnacentral:rRNA from 1 species